rnacentral:tRNA from 1 species
GCGCCUUUAGCUCAGUCGGUUAGAGCAGGCGACUCAUAAUCGCUUGGUCGCUGGUUCAAGUCCAGCAAGGCGCACCA